rnacentral:rRNA from 1 species
AUUGAACGCUGGCGGAAUGCUUUACACAUGCAAGUCGAACGGCAGCACGGGGCAACCUGGUGGCGAGUGGCGAACGGGUGAGUAAUACAUCGGAACGUGCCCAAUCGUGGGGGAUAACGUAGCGAAAGUUACGCUAAUACCGCAUACGAUCUACGGAUGAAAGCGGGGGAUCGCAAGACCUCGCGCGAAUGGAGCGGCCGAUGUCAGAUUAGGUAGUUGGUGGGGUAAAGGCUCACCAAGCCAAUGAUCUGUAGCUGGUCUGAGAGGACGACCAGCCACACUGGAACUGAGACACGGUCCAGACUCCUACGGGAGGCAGCAGUGGGGAAUUUUGGACAAUGGGCGCAAGCCUGAUCCAGCCAUUCCGCGUGCAGGAUGAAGGCCUUCGGGUUGUAAACGUGCUUUGUACGGUAACGAAACGGUCUGCCCUAAUACGGCGGCUAAUGACGGUACCGUAAGAAUAAGACACCGGCUAACUACGUAGCCAGCAGCCGCGGUAAAACGU